GCAGGUGUAGUUUAGCGGUAGAACUCCAGCCUUCCAAGCUGGUCGUGUGGGUUCGACUCCCAUCACCUGCUCCA
rnacentral:tRNA from 1 species